AUUAGUUAGAAGACGCAAACUUAUAAGUUGGAGUAUAAAGAGAUAAAGAUAGGCUGACUAUCAUCUCUUCAAUAAACUGAUCUACUUCUAAUUUAGGUUUUGUAGGAGUUUUAUAAAUAUCUCCAUCUUUUCUUUUGAAAAUUAUUACUCCGUAUAUCUUCGGAGGAUUAUUAUAGAUUUUUAGGCAUGGUAAAGGCGUUAUUAUUCUUAUUCUCAUUCAAAUUUGUAUCUAUCUUUACCAAUGAAAUUAAUUUUUUGUGGAGGAAAGAAAUAGAGAUUCUGACCCAUCCAACAAAAAAAGGCCACAUAUUUAUCAUCUUUUUCAUCUCCAAUUUCUAUGCUUCCUUUCCCCUUUUGUUUUUCUCAUGCUCAGCCACUUAGCUCAAGUUUCAAACAGCUAAAUCAUGGCUUCUCUCUAUACUUUUGCGCCGCCGUCAUACUCAAUUGGAAUUCUCCGCCGUCCCUCACUCGCAAUUUGUUCCCCUUUAUUUAACCGCGUUGUUCCUGCCGGCCUUAAUUUGAACGCCAAUCUCAAUAUUCGGUAAGGAACUUUAUCUGCAAGAAAAGAAGAGGCGGAUUCGAGUAUCUGCAUCAAAUACGAACCCUGAGAAAAAAGCGGAUGACUCUAAAUCAAGUGAUGGUGCUUCGAGUCCUCCAUUCCUAACGAUUUUAGCUGGUCUCCUAGUCUUCCUAUUCAUAUCUUGGAUAAUAGGAUCUGUUAGUAAUGUGGAUUGUUGGCUUUGUUUUACAUCCUCCACAGUUGAAAUGAGACCGAGUUUAACAUCGUUAGAUUCUCUGUUGCAUAAACACGAGGCAAUAUUGAGAGUAUACUAAUGUGUUGCUCGCACCAGUGCUGACUUUGGGGUUUCAUUCAAAUUUGGUCUCAGCAGGCUUUUGCACUGGUUGAUCAUGUCAUAUUACUAGUUGAUUCUCUCGUGUAGAUUGUCGGAUAUAAAAUACUUCUACUCAAUCUAUAAUUCACA